GCAGAUUAUUUGACUCAACAUUUUCCCAUCCAUAUCUACAUGGCUUUUUUUUUUUUUACCUGAACACAAAUGCAGUUAAAAAGCAUCAAGAACGCAGAACUUCAGAUUAUAGAUGGAAGCAUAAACUUAGAGGGUUUUUAUUGCAGCUUUUAUGUUCACAAUCUUUAGCCUAUUUGCAGGGUGUGACGUGUUCACUCAUCUCUUACUCAUAGUGCAUGAUAACUUUUGCCACUGGUAAACAGAAUGGUUAAAUACUAACAGUCAGAGAUUCUUUUGCUUCAUUCAUAGCUCACCUCAAAGAGCUGCACCUGUCAGCAGAGCACAGGUUGAACAAUGGAUGCUUUGUACAGUCUCCUUGGCUUUGAGUGGCUGGACACCAGAAGUGUCUUGAUAUUUUUCUUUGUGUUUCUGCUGCUGAGCGAUAUCUUAAAGAACAGAAAACCACAAAACUUUCCUCCAGGACCACAGGCUCUCCCGUUCAUUGGAGAUCUUUAUCGCAUCAACCCUGCCAGACUUCACCUGCAGUUCACAGAGUUUGCAGAAAAAUAUGGCAAGGUUUUCAGUCUCCAUGUCUUUGGAAGAAGGACGGUGAUCGUAAACGGGUACAAACACGUGAAAGAGGCACUUGUUGAAAAAGGAGAGGACUUCCUGGGUCGUCCCUCCAUUCCAUUGUUUUCUGAGAUUUUCGAGAACAAAGGUAUUGUGAUGUCAAAUGGUAAUCCAUGGAAAGUACAGAGGAGGUUCGCUCUUCAUACGCUGAGGAACUUUGGUCUGGGAAAGAAGACCAUAGAGCAAUACAUCCAGCAGGAAUGCCAGUAUCUCACUGAGGCGUUUGCUGAUCAGCAAGACAAGGCGUUCAAUGGCCAGGCGCUGAUCAACAACGCCGUGUCCAACAUCAUCUGCUGCUUGGUCUUCGGGAGUCGAUUUGAGUACAACGACAAGCAGUACCAGACUAUCCUUCGUGACUUUAAUGAGAUUGUGCGCUUACAAGGAAGCUUUCUCAUACAGAUUUACAACACAAUCCCCUCAGUUAUGAAGUGGCUGCCAGGACCUCAUCAACAAAUCUUCACUCUCUUAAAGAAGGUAAUUACGUUUAUAGAAAUACGGAUCAAAGAACACAGAGAGAACCUUGACCCGGCAUCUCCAAGAGACUACAUCGACUCCUUCCUCAUAGAGAUGGGAGAGAAAGAGGACAAAGAUUCUGGUUUUGAUCUCUUCAACUUGAGCGCUUGCGUUCUGGAUCUGUUCGGUGCUGGAAGUGAAACUACAACCACCACGUUACACUGGGGGCUGCUGUACAUGAUCUACUACCCUGAGAUUCAAGAGCGGGUCCAGGCUGAGAUAGACGCCGUGAUCGGCCCAUCCAGGCAACCCGCUCUGUCCGACAGAGAGAACAUGCCCUACACUGACGCCGUCAUCCACGAGAUACAGAGGAUGGGAAACAUCCUUCCACUGAAUGUGGCCCACAUGACGAUCAAAGACACCACCCUGGAUAAGUACUCUAUUCCAAAGGGAACCUUGAUAAUAGCUCCACUUCACUCUGUCCUCCAUGACGAGUCCAUGUGGGAGACUCCACACUCCUUCAACCCUCAGCACUUCCUGGACCAGGACGGUAAAUUUAGGAAGAGAGACGCCUUCAUGCCUUUUUCUGCAGGUAAACGUGUGUGUCUCGGGGAGCAGCUGGCCAGGAUGGAGCUGUUCCUCUUCUUCACUUCCCUCCUGCAGAGGUUUAAGUUCUCGCCUCCCCCAGGAGAGGAGCCCAGUCUGGAGUACAGGAUGGGAGGAGCUCGUAGUCCCAAACCUUACCGCCUCUGUGUCACACAACGUUAGACCAACAGGAGGGUUGACAGAACCUCCUGCACCCGCUGCACUGUCUCUGGAAUCAAAGAUCUCAGUAGCAGCUGUGUCUGAAAACCUGCUGGUAUUACAGCUAUUGACAUAUCAAAACCUUAAUCCUGAGAACAGGAACAUGAAGAAUCCAUUCGGCUGACUUCAAAGAUAUUUCAUUAUCAGUGUUCGGGAUGCCUCACAUCAUGCAUCUUGCCUGUUUAAAUCAAUUUCUGCUGGCUGUGAUUCAUGUCCAUUUAGAUUUUUACUGCUCAGAGACUUAAUGUUUUUAAUAACGAAGGCAAAAGGGAGUCCAAUCUCUUGGCAGUCUCCUCCCUCACUACAAAA